UCACUAUUGCAAGUUGUAGAACAACUUGUUCAGCUCUCUCUACCUUUAUAAAAGGAGCACCUUCCUUCCAAUUUGUGAUGAGAAAAAAGGAAAGAAAAGAAAAAAGAGAGGAAAAGCUUUUGCAGGAAAAAUUAGAAGAAACAGAGAGAAGGAAAUAUUAAAAAUCAAGAGGCAUUGCCAACGAGACUAUGAGAAAAGACCAAUCCACAGGAAAUCGAAGGGUCCGAGUUCUCAUCAACAACUCGCAGGGUCCGAUUACUGUGUCUCUGACGUCACAACCCGGUCAACUAGAGAAAUUUAUUGCUGGCGCUACAUGGAGGUGGUGGUGGUGUGGUGGAUAGCACUGGUGGUUGUGAUUAUAGUGUAAAAAAUGAAGAAAAAUGAGAUUGAAGUAUAUAAAAGAGUGCAGUAAAAUUUGAGGGAGGAUGAAUUUGUUGAUCAAAUCUAUGAUAGCAAUGCCAAACAAUAUAACUCGUACGACUACAAACUCGGCAUUAUAGUCUAGAGUUUGGAUUAAAGAACUUGCCUUCUUUAGAGAAUCUACCCCCUCUGUCUCGUCGUCCUCCAAAACCCCUUUCUUGAUUGAUAGAGGGUGAAAAAUUACCUUGUGUCAAAUGAGCAUGUACCAUUAAACUAUCUAGAUUUCGAUACUUAUCUACUAUAUCAUCAUGAGUCAUAAUGAGAGUUUCAACUUCACUAAUGAAUAAAUUUCUGAUUUUGCAUUGACAGUAAAAAUUAGUAUUUGAUAAUCAGAAUUCUGACUCU